CUAUACCUCUCUUUUUUACUCUUAUGUGCGGCAGCAGAAUAGCUCUCUCGUAUGAUUCAAUACUCACGACGUCCGCUCGAUGCAAUAAGAAUCUAUGUGUGUUUAUAUAGCUGUCAAUAUUUGCGCGAUCUUCGUUGUUACAUUCCUACACAUUAAUAUGAAUGUAUUUGUAAAUUUAAGCAUUUGCAUGCUUUAAACUUCAUAUAUUCAUUUCCAAACUGCCUGCCAGAAAGUGAAGACAAGUUUUGUGAAAGUAUUUUUUUUCAACAUGUCUAACCUUAAACGUGAUCGUGACAGUGGUAGAUUUUAUCGUCGUGCUGCAAAGCGUUUGCGGUUAGAUAUUAACGAAAAUGAUGAAAGGGACGCAGGACCGAGUCGUGAAGAAGAACUACACGAAUCACCAGCCAACAUAACAAUUGAGCAUACCGAUAUCGAAGAGAAAAACAUAGACACAGAAACGGAAACAGAAACAGAAGAAACGGAUGAAACUGAAGAUUACAUCGACGCAGACGAAAGUUUUUCCGAUAACAGCGAGGAAGAUGAUGAAAAUGAGUUCAACAACAUGUCUAUAAUUAAUGGCCUUCGGUAUUGGGCUUUGACCAAUAACUCAACGCACCGGUCUGUGAAUAUGAUGUUAAAGUUGUUCAAGAAAGCCAACAUAAAAGUUCCAGCUUCAGCAAAAACUUUACUCAGAACAAAACGAAAUCCUUCAUCUGAAAUAAAAGAGAUUGGUAGCGGACAAUAUUGGUAUCGCGGUAUUGCAAAUGCAUUGCUAAAUUAUUUCCGAUUUAAAAAGCCUUCAUCAUCACAUUUCACAUUGGCGGUGUCUAUAGAUGGGUUGCCAUUGCAUAACAGUAGCAACACACAAUUCUGGCCAAUUUUAUUUAAAAUAAAAGAACUACCGGAAGCACCGGUAAUGAUAGCUGCUAUAUUUUGUGGUUUAAAAAACCCGAGAGCGUCGAGGAGUAUCUUAAUCCUUUAGUGAAUGAAUUGAAUCUCCUCCAUGAUAAUGAAAUCACAAUAAACGGUGCGCAUAUCACCAUAAAGUUGGAGGCCAUCGUUGCUGAUACUUAUGCUAGAGCCUUUAUAAAAGGUAAGUUUUUUAUAGUUUUUAAAACCAUAAAAUAUAUUUCUUCUCUAUUGAAUUUUUUUAGGCGUUAAAGGUCAUACCGGUUAGGCUUCAUGUUUGAAAUGCACUGCGAAAGGUGUUUUCAACAAGAAGUCAAAGACCAUGACGUUUCCUGGCAUCAACGCACCCCUAAGAACUCACAAAGGUUUCGAAGAAGACGAUAAUCCUGGACACCGUACUUCUUCAACUCCACUUUUGAACUUGGUGCAAUUAGACAUAAUACUGGAUAUCAUUGUGGGAGAUCGAUUACAUCUGAUCGACCUGGGAAUCGUAAAUCGUUUGCUUUUGGGAUGGCGAGACGGAAAGUUGGGUUUAAAAGCAUGGAAUGAAAGGCAGUGUGCGCAGAUAUCGGCAGCAUUGGACAAAACCCAUCAGCCAUUUGAAGUGCACCGAAAGCAGCGUCCGAUCAAAUACAUUAAGUACUGGAAGGGAUCAGAAUGUGCAUUUUUUCUGCAUUAUUCAGCUAUAGUGGUGUUAAAAGAUCAUCUUCCAGAAAACGUGUACGAACAUUUUAUGCUCUUGUUUUGUGGGGUGACACUGCUUUCAUCGCAAGUUUAUGAAGAAAAAUGGGCGCUAGCUGGACAACUACUGGAUAAAUUUGUUACCGAUUUUUCCAUAGUAUACGACGAACAAUAUAUGAGCAUCAACAUCCACAAUUUGCAACACGUAUAUGAAGAAGUGAAACGUUUUCGUUCUUUUUCGGCCAUUUCAACAUACAUAUUCGAGGCCAAAUUGCAAUUCUUGAAGCGCUUACUUCGCAGUAGAUGGAAGAGUCUACAACAAGUUAUCAAUAGAAUAUCGGAGUUGGAAGAGUUUGAUAUGCCGAAAGACUCCAACAUUAGCUAUCCUUCGAUAAUCGUCAAAGGGAAAAAGACAUCUGUUGAUGUUCGGAAAAGCUUUGUACUGCAAAAUAACGUAAAAAAAACUGUUGGUUUCUUACGAUAGACAACAGCAUAAUGAAGUUUCACUCAGCAUCCUCAGAACCGGAAGAAGAAGGAAAAAUGUCAGUCAAAAGCAAUAAGCUGAAUAUAAAAGAGCUGGCAUUUGAGAAACCAUUCGCAUCAAGUGUAUUGUUUGUUUUUAAGGGAUAUACAGAUUCUCUUUCUGAUAUCGUUGAGGACAUUUCACUAGAUCAAAUAAGGUGUAAAUUUGUAGCAAUACCUACAAAACGCAACGAAGAAGUCAUUUUUGUUCCUCUUUUGCACACAUUAAUAUAAAAAUAUUAUGAAUGAAUGUAUGUUAUUCACUUUACAAUCAAAGAAAAUAUACCUUGAAUAAAAAAAAUUUUUUGGUUUACUUCAUAAGAGAAUUCGACAAUUUUAUCACAUAAAACUAGACAUUUUACUACAUAAGGAACAUUUGCAAUAAUUCAUAAAACUUAAACUAAUUCCAUAAUGGCAAAAACUAAGGUGUUCUUUUUUUGUGAGAAGAUGUUUUAGUAGUUUCGGAAAAAUGUAUACGUGUCCCUGAGUGUUUGAUUUUGUUUUUAAAAAAAUCUGCAACUGUUCGAGCAGCUACGCG